UACGGAGGGUGCAAGCGUUAUCCGGAUUCACUGGGUUUAAAGGGUGCGUAGGUGGGUUUGUAAGUCAGUGGUGAAAUCUCCAAGCUUAACUUGGAAACUGCCGUUGAUACUAUAAAUCUUGAAUGUUGUGGAGGUGAGCGGAAUAUGUCAUGUAGCGGUGAAAUGCUUAGAUAUGACAUAGAACACCAAUUGCGAAGGCAGCUCACUACACAAAGAUUGACACUGAGGCACGAAAGCGUGGGGAUCAAACAGG
rnacentral:rRNA from 1 species